AUUGAACGCUGGCGGCAGGCUUAACACAUGCAAGUCGAACGAGUGGCGGACGGGUGAGUAAUGCUUGGGAAUCUGGCUUAUGGAGGGGGAUAACUACGGGAAACUGUAGCUAAUACCGCGUACCAUAGGAUGAGCCCAAGGGGGAUUAGGUCGUGGGUGAGGAAAAGGCUCACCAGGCCGACGAUCGCUAGCUGGUCUGAGAGGAUGACCAGCCACACUGGGACUGAGACAUGGCCCAGACGCCUACGGGAGGCAGCAGUGGGGAAUAUUGUUCAAUGGGGGCAACCUGAUGCAGCCAUGCCGCGUGAAUGAAGAAGGCCUUCGGGUUGUAAAGUUCUUUCGGUAGGGAGGCGUUAACCACAGAAGAAGCACCGGCUAACUCCGUGCCAGCAGCCGCGGUAAUAC
rnacentral:rRNA from 1 species